rnacentral:tRNA from 1 species
GGCCGAGUGGCGGAAUGGCAGACGCUGGGGACUUAAAAUCCCCUGCCCGAAAAGGGCGUAUGGGUUCGAAUCCCAUCUCGGCCA